UUUUCACGUCAAGAAGAAGCAGUGUUUUUGUUUUUUUCUUUUCCCAUCCCAAAGUUUGGCGUUUCAGCGUUUUAAGUUCUGCUGAGCCUCACAAAGCUGCUCGACAGUCUUCAGAUCAGCGCUCCACGGUCGAGACGCGAGCGGGCGGGGAUGACACGUCGUGGUGCCCGCCACCGUGCCUAACCCUCUGACCUUGGACGGCCCGUUUCCAUGGAGACAGACGUUGGCAACGAGCAGGGCCGACCGACGGGGAGCGAGAACGGAGUUGAACCUCAGCGUCGUGCUGGAUGGAUGUUGUCAUGACUCAGCCGCGGCCCAACCUCGGCUGUCAGAUGAAAGGUCAUGCGUGCAAACAACUUGAGGCGACGACAAAAUUGCUGGAAUGGAAACACAUCUGCGACGGACGACGCCACGUUAUCGACCACCGCCUGCCGUGAUGCUCAGCAGGAACGUAACAACAAAAUGUUCAUCGGGAUGAAAGCGGCGAGGUGUGAUCCAACUAAAACAAAGACAGCACUCGGAGAUUAACUGGAACGGCAAGGCGUUGUUUUGGAAUGCGAUGUCUGCCACACAGCUAACCAGGGGAAUGCAGGAGUUCAACCUCGCCCGGAGAAUCUCUCGGACAUACCCGCGGUGAGAGAGCCACGAUGCGGCCGCCGCCUCCCCGGUUCUUCUUCUUCGCCUGUCACUGCGGUGCUCAAUCUCGUCCCAGUCCUCCACGACGUGACUUGUACGUGUAGACUUCAGAGCAAGACGGUGAUCUUGGAGGUGACGAUGGCGAGAUGGUGGGGUCUCGUCGCGUCUUCCCUUGUUGUCCAGCUGAGACCGACGCCUGCGCUCGCUGGUGCUUCGCCUCAGUGCUUUGGGCUGAUUGGGCGGGGUUGUGAUUAGGGGCGGAGCUGAUACAAUUCGGGGAGCCAAUCAGGUGGAAGCGACAGGGAGGGGCGUUGGCAUGCAAAAAACAAAACGUGCGGUAGUUAAAUAAACGCACAACCCAUUCACCGUUAUUUGCCUACAAUUGCCGUACAUUGAACAAGUCAGUGUGUUCAUGUGGCUGUGUUCCUGAAUCCAUCGGUUCCGGUUCCGUUCUUGGCGCUGAUGAGAUCAUGUUAUAUGGGAAGAACCUGUUGGAAAAAAUCCUCAUAUAAUGCGUGUGUAUCUAGGAAAAUAGGGCUCAGUAGACUUUCUGUAUACAGUUUAUUUGUGCAUUAUAGUUGAAGGCAGUUAAACCUCGAAAGCCAGAAUUUCGAAUUCGUAUUUACGUUCAUAAUUUAGGCCAUUAAUUGUAUUUUGUUGCUGUUGACUAUUUGCGACGCAGUUGUAGUGUGACGUAAACGGUCGUCGGCUCCAAAAAAGUCACUUAAGUUUUCAACGUUAGACAAAGAAAAGCAAAAAUAUAGGACAACAGUGACACCCAGUGGACAAUGUGAUACACUUCAUAGCAUCAAAUAUAAAACGUCAGUAAAAUCAAUAUGCACCGAGAAAACAUUGAUAAGUUUCUCUACAUGUACUUGUCGGAAAUGACGGGAGAACGACAACAUAUCAGUUAAGACGGAUAUGAAGAGAGAGUCCUAUUUAAGUAUAACGUCCUCAUUUACGAGGUUACUUGAAGUAACACUGAGUGAACUGGCGUGCCUACGGUAAACGUGAAAGCUCAUUUCAAGUAGAACCAAGCGCGUUCUUGCCAAGUUUCCUUCUGUUGCUUGUCACUGACGCAGCACAUAUUGAGUUAUAAACUUUAUCACAAUUUUGCCCACAUUUACAAAUACAAGCUUUUUCACAUUCCGUUAAGCUUUGAUUUUUCUGUGUGCUAGUGUUGGCUCGUCAUGGAACGAUUCGUCGAAGAAACCGAAUCUUUUCAGUGAACGAGUGAACGAAUUAUUUUUUCAGUUCAUAUGACUUCAACCAGUAGGUGUCAGUAAUGCACAUUGAAGCUGGUGCUACCUCGUAGAACAAAACGAAGAAGAAAAUGACGUCACUUCCGGUUCACCAACUGAAGUGAGUGAUUUGCAUUUCCAGUUCAUCGCGAGAACGGAAAUAACGUGUAUGCAUAUAUACGCCUAAAUAUUGUUAUCCAAUAUAUCUACUGCAAUUUCACAUUAGAUUGCUGGUUUGAAAUGUACUUUUAUUAUUAUUGUUAUUGUUUUAAUGAACAUUAAAACCUGUUAAAACUUG